AAAAUUCUAUUUUAUUUAGUGAAUGGUACAACUGUAGAUACAAAUACAAAUAACCAAACAUCAGAAGCUAAUACUUCUAAAUCACAAGAUGGAGAUAGCUCUCAAGUUGAUAAAAAAAAGGAAGAAGAGACAAAAGAAGUUAACUCUUCAGAUGCCAUAGAAAGUAAUACAAAGAAACCUUCUGAAAAUAAUACAAAGAAGCUAUCAGAAAACAACACAGAAAAAACUUCGGAACAAACAGAUAAAUCAGAAGAAUCUUGUUUGGAAGAUAAGUCAAGUAGUGAAGUUUCUGCAGAAAGACAAAAUACUUAGGUAUAUGAUCUAUAAAUACGAAUCCAGCCAUCUGGACCUCGUGUGAUAACAAUAACGGUUGUACAAAGUAUAGAUACUUACUUGUAUAUGUAUGUAUGAGUGUUGAACGUCAUAAGAAGUGGACUACGACCAAUACUAAAGAAAGAUAGUAUUUGUCACCAUUUUUUGUGCAUUUGUUUUUUCAGAUGAUAACAUAUUCAUUUUAUUGGUUAAUGUAGACUUCAUCUUGCAUAGAGCAUAUUUAUUCCAACGGAAAAAAUAACAUUUUUCAUUGCCAUUUUAUAAAACUAUAAUUUUUUUUUAUGUUUAAAUCAUAUUAAAAAACCAAGCACCCGUUUUCAUAAAAAAAACACUUAAUCAUCCCAUAGAAAAUGUUUAUACAAAAUGUUAUUGAGCAGUGACAUGUAAAAAAUAUCAUAUUAUAAAUCACAUCUAGAUCAUAUUUGAUAUUUACUUAUCACCAAAAAAAAAUGAUUGUGUUAACCAGGUCUUAACUUGGUUUUUAUGAAAUAAUCAUUUGCUUUAAAAUGUUGCAUAUCAGAUAAUACAUUGUUUUGUCUAUGCAACUGAAUACUCUGAAUAAAUAAAGUGUUUACAUAAAAAGUUUUUUUUUCCUGUUUUAUUGUAUAAAAUAAAAGACAUUUUUAAAA